rnacentral:lncRNA from 1 species
GGUUUUCAAGCCCAAAAGGAUAUUGGAGAAAUACCUCAAUGAGAGAGAUGGGCACUGCUAGGGAUUGAGAUGUGGACAUAUAGAGUCUAAAUACUUUCUGAUAUCUGCUUGAAUGCCAGAUGGCAACUGCAUUCCUGACCUCUGGGGAAUGCAAAGUCUGUCUGAAGCCCAAGGAGAGCUCAGAGCAUCAAAGAUCCUGAGGCAGGUACUAAGGAGGUGCCUCCAAGGAGGU